rnacentral:lncRNA from 1 species
GACUUUAAUCAUAACAUCUCAGUGUCAGUUCAUUAAUUGUAGCAAAUAUGCCACACUAUCGUAAGAUGUUAACAAUAAAGGAGACUGGCUGUGCUAUAUGGGAACUCUAUGUACCGGCUCUACAGUUUUUCAGUAGAUCUAAAAUUAUUCUUAAAAAAAAUAUUUUUUUAAAGGCAGCUGGUGGCUGUACGAACUCACUCUUCCUCCCAGAAACAAUCACUUGGCGCCUGCUGUGUGCCAGGCGCAUGUACAGGUGAUUUAUGUGCAUCUUCAUUUAUUUCUCAUAUUAGUGCUGGGAGCUGGGGAAAAUCUGCAUUUUGCAGAUGAGGAAAUUAAAGCACAGAGAUGUAGUUAACUGGCUAACAGCCACACAGCACAUUUAAGGACGCAUGAACGAAUGGCUCAUGUUCAGGUCUACCCACUACAAGGUUCCUGAUAAAGCUCGGCAACGUUGCCUGAAAAAUCCCUAAACUUUAAACAGAGGCUGGCUCAACACCAAGCUUCAAGCAGUCCACAAACCCAGAUUGGUAAUAAAAAGAGUACGCUUUCUAAUUUGCCUUACUUUUAGAAGUUUAAAAACAUAAAAUAGAACUACUAUCAGGAAAAGAAAUUAAAAAAAAAAAGAGCAAAUCCAAAACACUGACAACACCAGAUGCUGGUGAACAUAUAGGAUAUAGGAUAACAGGGACUCUCAUACGUGGCUGAUGGGAGAGCAAAGUGGUGCAGCCAGUCUGGAAGACAGUGCUAAACACAGAGCAUAUGUCCUCUCCACCACAUUCCUAUACUGAAAUCUAACCCCCAACAUGAUGGUAUUUGGAGGUGGGGGCUUUGGAGUGAUUAGGUCAUGAGGGUGGAGCCCCCAUGGGUGGGAUUAGUGCCCACAGAAGAGGCCCCAGAGAGCUCCAUCACCCCUUCUAUCAUGUGAGGACAGCCACCUAUCAACAGGAAGAGGUACCCUGAAUCUACUGGCAUCUCAGACAUCCCAAAGCUUCCAGAACUCUGGAACCAAUUUCAGUGGUUUUUAAGCCCUCAUCCCCAGUCUAUGGCAUUUUGUGAUAGCAGCAUGGAUGGCCUGAGACCGUCUGGCAGUGUCGCACAAAGCUAACACAGGUUUCCAUACGACCACCAAGUUGUGCUCCCAGGCAUUUACUCCAAAGAAUUGAGAACAGGUGUCCACACAAAACCUGCACACGAAUGUUUGUAUCAGCUCUAUUCAUGACUGGCAAAAAUUGGAAUCAAACAAAUGUCUUUCAAUAGAUAAACUACCGUACAUCUACACAAUGGAGUAUUGUUCGGCUAUAAGAAGAAAUGAGCGAUCACGUUACAAAAACACACACAGGGAGGUGUCUGGGUGGCUUGGGAGGCUAAGGGUCUGCCUUUGGCUUGGGUCAUGAUCCCAGAGUCCUGGGAUUGAGCCCCACAUCGGGGUUCCUUGCUCAGCGGGUGUCUAUUUCUCCCUCUCCUCUGCACCCUCAAUCGUGCUAUUUCUCAAACGAAUAAAUAAAAUCUUAAACACACACACAUGGACAGCCCGGGUCGCUCAGCGAUUUAGCACUGCCUUCGGCCCGGGGUGUGAUCCUGGAGACCCAGGAUCGAGUCCCGCAUUGGGCUCCCUGCUUGGAGCCUGUUUCUCCCUCUGCCUGUGUCUCUGUCUCUAUGUGUGUGUGUGUGUGUGUGUGUGUGUGUGUGUUUAAAGAUUUUAUUUAUUUAAUCAUGAGAGACACAGAGGAACCUUAGAUGCAUAUUGCUAAGUGAAAGAAGCCAGUAUAAAAAUACUACAUACUGUGAUUUCAACUAUUAGACGUUCUGGAUAAGGCAAACUAUGGAGACAGUAGGAGAAAGAUCAGUGGUUGCCAGGGGUUGAGGGAGGGAGGAAAGGAAGGGUCAACAGGUAGAGCACGGAGGAUCUUCAGGAUGGUGAUACGAUUCCAUAUGACACUAUCAUGGUGGAUACAUGAUAUUAUGUCUUUGUAAAACCUAGAGAACUGUGGAUCACAAAGCAAAAUCCUAAUGUAAAGUGUAGCUCCUUAAUUAUAAUAAAUGUGCCACACCAAUGCAAGGUAUUAAUAAUAGAAGAACCUGAGGGAUGGGGUAGAUGGGAAUUCUGUACUUUCUGCUUUUUUCGAAACUGAGGGAUGGAGUAGAUGGGAAUUCUGUACUUUCUGCUUUUUUCUAUAAAUCUAAAGCUACUCUAAAAAAGUCUAUUUUUUUUAAAGUAGGUUCCAUGCCCAACAUGGGGCUCAAACUCACGACCCCGAGAUUUAAAGUUGCAGGCUCUACUGAGUCAGCCAGGCGCCCACCAAAUAGUCUAUAUACAAUAAUUAGUGGUAGAGGAUCAAUAAUCCAACAAAACUCUACAGCAAUGUGGGAAUAUAAUCUGAAUCCCUUGAUAUUUACAAUCCUGGAAAAAAUAAGGCAUGAAUAAGUAGCAGAGAGCAGAAACCCACCCUGAAUUAUAAUUACAACAAAAAGUCAUUCCAUCCAGAAAACGUUGGAACUGUAAGAUCAUUAUGCUGCACCCCUCAAACACUGUUGUACCUCAAUUAUACUUCAAUAAAAUGGGAGGGGGGGGGAAAGAAAGCCUCUAUACCAGGAAGUAGCUCCCUUGCAGUGUCUCACCAAAAAUUAUGAGGCAGAAAUUCCGUUAAUGCCUAAAAGUCAUUCUCAAAUCUUGAUUUUAGUUCCAACAAGAAAUUUCCUAAGUGUUUCAACAUCUCCAAGUGAGGACGAAUAACAGGUGUUAACACCCUCGGUA